CCUACGUGUGGCAGCAGUGAGGAAUAUUGGUCAAUGGCCGGAAGGCUGAACCAGCCAUGCCGCGUGAAUGUCAGUGCCCUAUGGGCGUUAAACUUCUUUUGUGCGGGAGCAAUAAUGGUCACGUGUGGCCUGACGAUAGUACCGUACGAAUAAGCAUCGGCUAACUGCGUGCCAGCAGCCGCGGUAAUCCGGGGGAUGCAAGCGUUAUCCGGAUUGACUGGGUUGAAAGGGUGCGUAGGCUGUGAGGUAAGUCAGAGGUGGAAUGCCUCCGCUCAACGGGGUGAAUUGCCAUUGAUACUGGCUUGCUGGAGUGCGGAUGCCGUAGGAGGAAUGUGUGGUGUAGCGGUGAAAUGCAUAGAUAUCACACAGAACACCGAUUGCGAAGGCAUCUCACGAAUCCGCGAUUGACGCUGAUGCACGAAAGCGUGGGUAUCAAACAGGAUUAGAUACCCGAGUAGUC
rnacentral:rRNA from 1 species